CAGUAGCCGCGGUAAAACAGAGGGUGCGAGCGUUAAUCGGAUUUACUGGGCGUAAAGCGUGCGUAGGCGGCUUUUUAAGUCGGAUGUGAAAUCCCCGAGCCUAACUUGGGAAUUGCAUUCGAUACUGGGAAGCUAGAGUAUGGGAGUGGAUGGUAGAAUUCCAGGUGUAGCGGUGAAAUGCGUAGAGAUCUGGAGGAAUACCGAUGGCGAAGGCAGCCAUCUGGCCUAAUACUGACGCUGAGGUACGAAAGCAUGGGGAGCAAACAGGAUUAGAUACCCCCGUAGUCCCUGUCUCUUAUAC
rnacentral:rRNA from 1 species